AGAGUUUGAUCAUGGCUCAGGAUGAACGCUAGCUACAGGCUUAACACAUGCAAGUCGAGGGGCAGCAUGGUCUUAGCUUGCUAAGGCUGAUGGCGACCGGCGCACGGGUGAGUAACACGUAUCCAACCUGCCGUCUACUCUUGGCCAGCCUUCUGAAAGGAAGAUUAAUCCAGGAUGGGAUCAUGAGUUCACAUGUCCGCAUGAUUAAAGGUAUUUUCCGGUAGACGAUGGGGAUGCGUUCCAUUAGAUAGUAGGCGGGGUAACGGCCACCUAGUCAACGAUGGAUAGGGGUUCUGAGAGGAAGGUCCCCCANAUUGGAACUGAGACACGGUCCAAACUCCGUACGGGAGGCA
rnacentral:rRNA from 1 species